rnacentral:rRNA from 1 species
UACAGAGGGUGCAAGCGUUGUUCGGAAUUAUUGGGCGUAAAGGGCGCGUAGGCGGUGCGGUAAGUCUGUAGUGAAAUCUCUGGGCUCAACUCAGAGUCUGCUGCAGAAACUGCCGUGCUUGAGUGUGGGAGAGGUGAGUGGAAUUCCCAGUGUAGCGGUGAAAUGCGUAGAUAUCGGGAGGAACACCUGUGGCGAAAGCGGCUCACUGGACCACAACUGACGCUGAGGCGCGAAAGCGUGGGGAGCAAACAGG